AUUCGGCGCUCUCACCGCCGCGG
rnacentral:piRNA from 2 species